rnacentral:snRNA from 1 species
AUACUUACCUGGCAAGGGAGACACCGUGAUCAAGAAGGCGGUUCACCCAGGGCGAGGCUCAGCCAUUGCACUCCGGCUGUGCUGACCCCUGCGAAUUUCCCAAAUGUGGAAAUCUCGAUUGCAUAAUUUCUGGUAGUGGGUGACUGCGUUCGCGCUCUCCCCUG